GGCUGACUAACACAGAGGGUUAGAGCGUCGCGCUAGUUAUGCGAAGCUCUUCGGUUCGAUCCCUACGUUGGCCA